CAGUAGCCGCGGUAAUACAGAGGGUGCAAGCGUUAAUCGGAAUUACUGGGCGUAAAGCGCGCGUAGGUGGUUUGUUAAGUUGGAUGUGAAAUCCCCGGGCUCGACCUGGGAACUGCAUUCAAAACUGACUGACUAGAGUAUGGUAGAGGGUGGUGGAAUUUCCUGUGUAGCGGUGAAAUGCGUAGAUAUAGGAAGGAACACCAGUGGCGAAGGCGACCACCUGGACUAAUACUGACACUGAGGUGCGAAAGCGUGGGGAGCAAACAGGAUUAGAUACCCCAGUAGUCCCUGUCUCUUAUAC
rnacentral:rRNA from 1 species